AGGUCCACGUUUCCCAGUUCUCUCUUGCAAUCCCUCUGAGAAGCAGCGUGGGGCACCAGGUGCUAUCGUUUCUGGCAGGUGUUUGCUUGCACCUCAGGUACGUUUAAGGAAAACGUGGCUGUGAACUCCAUCCGAGCUGUGGCCAUCCCUCCCGCCCCCAUUGUGAGCAAAAGCUCAGGUGGGAGGGAUGGGGCGGGUGGUUCAGGCUGCCUCAAAGGGGGCUGUUUCAGCAAGAUUGUUUGAUGCAACAUGUCAGGCCAGGCGGCAUCCUCAACAGAGUCUGUUCUGACGGAAUCUCAGAAGUCUCUCCCAGAGCGCCUUGGUCAGCAGAGAGAACUUGCUCAUAGAACUCACCAGAGCCAUGAGGUGGAAAAGCCAUCGUCCUCCCUCCCUGGUCACCACGGCUGACAGAGGUUCCACAACAACCUUGGAAAGUAGAUAGAAUGAAAAGCAUCAGCCGCAUUUCACAGAUGAGAAAACUGAGACAAAGGCUGAAAGUAAUAUGCUCCUUCGGCAAACGCACAAAUGACUUCGCUCAAACAACUUCUUCCAGUGGCAGCAUUUUGUGUGAGCUUCUGGUCAAUGCCACGUCCAGAUGGCUAUCCCUGUUGCACAAUGGAGAAUCACAGUGUUGAGUCUGUGUAAAGAGAAAUGGAAGAGAGUGGAUCAGAUGUUGCCCACGACUCUGUUUCCAAGAGGACAGGUUUACUGGGCAAGGGAAAGAUGUGAGGGGGUAGGACCAAAGGAGAUUCCUCCCCUCUUCCUGCUUUGUUUACCUUUAAGAUUCUCUUUAAUGAGCAUCCUUUAUUUUCUA